rnacentral:rRNA from 2 species
GAUGAACGCUGGCGGCGUGCUUAACACAUGCAAGUCGAACGUGAGAAUAGCAAUAUUUGAAAGUGGCAAACGGGUGAGUAACACGUGGGAACCUGCCUCGAAGUGGGGGAUAACGAUUGGAAACGGUCGCUAAUACCGCACGGUUCUGCUCUGAUGGGAAUGGAGCAGAUAAAGAUUUAUCGCUUUGAGAGGGGCCCGCGGCCGAUUAGCUAGUUGGUAAGGUAAAGGCUUACCAAGGCGAUUAUCGGUAGCUGGUCUGAGAGGACGAUCAGCCACACGGGAACUGAGACACGGUCCCGACUCCUACGGGGGGCAGCAGUGAGGAAUAUUGGGCAAUGGGCGAAAGCCUGACCCAGCAACGCCGCGUGGAGGAUGAAGGCUUUAGGGUUGUAAACUCCUUUUGUGGGGGAAAAGAAUGGAUGGUACCCCAAGAAUAAGUCACGGCUAACUACGUG